GACGAACGCUGGCGGCGUGCUUAACACAUGCAAGUCGAACGGAAAGGCCCUGCUUUUGUGGGGUGCUCGAGUGGCGAACGGGUGAGUAACACGUGAGUAACCUGCCCUUUACUUUGUGAUAACUUCAGGAAACUGGGGCUAAUACCGGAUAGGAGCUCCUGCUGCAUGGUGGGGGUUGGAAAGUUUCGGCGGUUGGGGAUGGACUCGCGGCUUAUCAGCUUGUUGGUGGGGUAGUGGCUUACCAAGGCUUUGACGGGUAGCCGGCCUGAGAGGGUGACCGGCGACAUGGGGACUGAGAUACGGCCCAGACUCAUACGGGAGGCAGCAGUGGGGAAUAUUGCACAAUGGGCGGAAGCCUGAUGCAGCAACGCCGCGUGCGGGAUGACGGCCUUCGGGUUGUAAACCGCUUUCGCCUGUGACGAAGCGUGAGUGACGGUAAUGGGUAAAGAAGCACCGGCUAACUACGUG
rnacentral:rRNA from 1 species